UAAAGCCUAGUUCUCAUUCAUCGCAAUCUGUCACCGACGAUCGGCGACGCUUAUCGCCGAUACUCGCCGAGCGCGAAUGCACGAAAGUUCUCAUACAUCGGUGAUCGUCGCAGAUGACAGCCGAUGUGUUUCGAAAUUUCCCAAAUUUCCCACAAAAUGGGCCCAUUCAACGUAAAGUUCAUGAUUUCUGUCAAACUUCAGUUGAUUAUUUCCUUGCUUGUUGAGGAAAAAACAACUUUUACUCAUUUCUCAUAGAUUUUUUAAGCAGGUGGCAGUCGGCGAUGGUCGCAAGAAACAAACUUUUUUGUUUCCUGCGAUGUCAUCGCCGAUGGUCGGCGACGAUUACGGACAGUCGGCGAUAUAAUUUUUGAUGUGUUCUCAUAAAUGGCAAGCGGUCGCCGACGUCGCAAAGCUCCCAUCGCCGACGGUUUGCGAUGAAUGAGAACUAGGCUUAACAAAUAUUUUCAUGAGGGGAAAGGAUGGAAUUUUGGCCUGUAUAGCCAAUUGAAUUGCAAGUAAUCCCCUAUAUGUUGAACUUGUCUCUUGUUCAGAUUGUGUGAACAUUCUGUGUGCCACAUGAUUUGUCCCCAAAACCAAUGUCUGGACAAGAUACGGGCCAAAUUCCCUGUAAUUGGGCCAGUGGAAAUUAUCUGUCCCACCACACUCGCUAACUGCCUGGCUGUGAUUCGAUGCUGAUUGAGAAUGGUAGUUAUUGCAGAAUUUAAUUUCUCUAGGCGAUGGGAUGCAAUUGGCGAUCGUGCCGUUUACGCCAUUCCAAUCCAAACCUAGCCAAGUUUUUUUCUGAGUUGGUACUCAUAUAUUGAUUUAUCGUCAUUGGCAACUAGGCCUGACAUGCAAAGAUCUGAUUUGAUAAUUGUGGCAUAUUCAUAUUUGUGGGAGAUUUCAGGUGAAUUUUCCAUGUCUAUGUUAUCCGGUCUAGGAAUAUUGUAGUGCUAAUACCCAAACCACGCCAGUGACGAAUUAGGGGACGAAGCAGUUUCGUAAAAAUAUAGGGAGCUGAAGAAAGGCCAAAAGGCAAGAAAGACAGUAAAUCUAUAGUAUCGUGUACUCCCGAUUGGUCCAAGAAAAUCCUAAAUACGACUGAUGUUCAGAAAAUAUGUCUAAGUGAUGGUAGCCGCUCUUUAAAUCAAAUUUUGUGAAAUACUUGCCUGGGCCGAAAUAAUUAAUGGCGGUACGCCAGUCCUCGAAUUUGAUAUUUUGGUUGCAAAUAUGUUUGUUUACAUAUCUCAAAUCCAGUAUUAAACGCUUUUUCUCACUUUUGUUCGUUGCUACGGAAAGUGGAUUUAUAACGACCAAGUCCUCCUUACGUGUUUCCGCUAUUCUACACGUGGAUAACAAUACUGAUAACGCUUCUGAAACAAAAUCUGCGUGAACGUGAGCGGAGCGAUUAUUAGGGAAAGUCGCUCACUCCGGGGUAGAAUAAACCAGGGUAAAAAGGGUAAAAAGAAAAUACAAGACACGAGAUCAAAGAAAAUACAAACAGACUGGUUCAGAGCAAAUUACGUAUUUAUUCUUGUUUGAAGCUACAGUGUUUAUCUGUGAUUACGUUUAUUUAAUACGAACGAUUGAACGAUUGUAUUUUCUCGCAAGUUUUCUUAGAGCCCAUUUUUCCAAACAAAUAGGUCUGAAUCCCGAGUGUAGAGUGAUACAGGACGGCGGCUGUGGCACAUUGUCUAAAACCAAGUUAUCCUUCGGAACUUCCCUACAAGAUUCCAUCUCCUGACAGCACCAAGCUUCGUGCGUAUAUUGUAUAUGUAUUAUCACACAAUCGCCGCAUUUACACUUGUGAAAUAUGAUACAGGUGAGGAAAGUGUGGUUUGAUGUGACUUAUGCCGUAUCAAAAAUAUAUCAGCCAGAGAUACUUAGUUUACGUUAAAAUCUUAAAUAAAUCUAUGUUUACGCUCACCAUGACUUAAUAUCUUCAAGGCCAUCUAAUCUUCGUAAAGUUAAUCUCCGCCAAAGCCGUAAAGUUAGAAACAGAAAGGCACCGUGGCUGACUGAUGCAAUUAAGAAAAGUAUGAAUCGCCGAGAUUAUCUCAAGAAGAAAGCUAUUAAGACAAACUUAACUGCAUGCCACAAUGCUUACAAAAGUCUUCGCAAUGAGAUUAACAAAAAAAUUAUGUAUGCAAAACGAGAUUAUUACACAAACUGUGUUGACAGAAACAGAAAUAAUACAAAGCAAAUGUGGAAACAUAUUAAUCAGUUAGUUAAUAAAAAUUCUAGAUCAACAAAUAUAUCAG